UCUGGAUAAAGUUUAAUUUUAGAGUCCAUUAUAAAGGAUGAGGUUGCAGAGUAGUUAGAAGUUCCCGAUAAAAUAUGCCAAAGUCAGCAUGGCUUUGUGAAGGGGAGGUCUUGCCUGCAAAAUUUGCUGGAAUUCUUUGAAGAAGUAAAUGGCAGAACACCCAAAUGAGUGAGUCAGUAGAAUCUGUAUACCUAGAUUUUCAGAAAGCCGUUGAUAAGGUGCCACAUGGGAGGC